AUUUUUGCCUAGGGUUGGUGCGAAGGUUAUCGCCCUUAGGUCUUGGUAGAAUCUUUCUCGAUCUCUAAUUCCUCGUUAUUUCGCUGCGUUUCAUUCUCGGAGAAGCUUCAAGGUCCUUUAAAUCAGCUCGCGUCGCGCGUUCAGUCCUCUUCCUUGGAGCCUCUUUCAUCAGGUGGUAUUCAGAGCUCUGAUUCUUCCACACAAUUCAAAAGCUAAGUAUCUCUCUCCUUUGUGUCGUGUUUUCAUUUGAUUCAUUAUUGUGUUGACAUUGUUUCGCAUCUCUGUUUUGAUGUUUUUCUCUGAUUCAUGUAAGGUUGAAUUUGUAUUGGCUUGUUUUGUCUUAAUUCUGAGUAUUAUAUGUUAAUUUUGCUCAUAAACUGUUUGUUUAAAUGUCUAAGAGAGCUAAUAUGAGAUUGUUCAUUCUUGAUAACUUAUUACUCUUCAUAUUAAAAUGCGCUCUCUGUAUCCUCACGCCAAAGGCAUAUUGUUAGGGCUCAAAGAGAAAGGCAUCGACGUUGCAAUCGCUUCUCGCUCAUCAACUACUGACAUAGCAACAAUUUUCCUCAACAAAUUGGGCUUCUCCUCACUCUUUGUCACACAAGUCAAUUCUUGUGCUUAUCUUGCUUUUCCAAUUCAAAUUUAAAGCAACAUGCAUUAGGUUUUUAUUUCUCUUGUGAACUUUGGUUUGUUCAGAAAAUAUAUUCUAGCUAGACACAUAAAACAGAUCAUUUUCAGCGGAUUCAUUCGAGCACAACUGUCCCCUUCAACUCCAUGCUCUUUUUCGAUGAUGAGAAUAGGAACAUCCAAUCGGAUUGUGUUGCUACAAGAUGGUACAGAGCCCCAAAGCUGUAUGGCUCCUUCUUUUCUGAGCUGCAGUUGAAGCACUCUGAAGAUGGUAGAGAAAGUGGAAGAGUUUAACAUGAAGUGAGUGAUAGAGGAAUUUGAGAGGGUGACAAAGGAUGCUAAGAGGUUCAGGACUGCAAAAGGAAUAGAAAAUUAGGAUAAUUUAUUUUUUUUAUAAAACUUUAAAGUUACAUACGGAUUUUUCCGUAUGUGAUUAAUUUUUAAUUACAUAUGACUUUUACA